rnacentral:rRNA from 1 species
AAUCAAGCGUUUAAGAGCAUUUGAUGGAUGCCUUGGCACACAAAGGCGAUGAAGGACGUAGUACGUUGCGAUAAGCUUCGGGGAGUGACGAACACACUUUGAUCCGAAGAUUUCCGAAUGGGACAACCCAACUCUUUUGAGUUAUUGCUAACUGAAUACAUAGGUUAGUAAAGCGAACCCAGUGAACUGAAACAUCUAAGUAGCCAGAGGAAAAGAAAGCAAACGCGAUUCCCUUAGUAG